GACGAACGCUGGCGGCGUGCUUAAUACAUGCAAGUCGAGCGGACAGGCGCGGCUUUUGUGGGGUUCUCGAUUGCCGAACGCGUGAGUAACACGUGAGGAACCCGCCCUUGUCUUUCUGAUAUCUUCAGGAAACUCCGGCUCAUACCGCGUAGGAGCUCCUGCUGCGUGGUGGUGGUUGGAAAAUGUCGGCGGUUGUGGAUGGUCUCGCUGGUUAUCAGCUUGAUGGUGGAGUAGUGGCUUACCAAGGCUUUGACGGCUAGCCGGCCUGAGAGGGUGACCGGCCACAUUGGGACUGAGAUACGGCCCAGACGCCUACGGGAGGCAGCAGUGGGGAAUAUUGCACAAUGGGCGGAAGCCAGAUGCAGAAACGCUGCGUGCGGGAUGACGGCCUUCUGGUUGUAAACAGCUUUGGAAUGUGCCGAAGAGUGCGUGACGGUAAUGGGUAAAGAAGCACCGGCUAACUACGUG
rnacentral:rRNA from 1 species